rnacentral:rRNA from 1 species
GAUAAACGCUGGCGGCACACAUAAGACAUGCAAGUCGAACGGACAAUUUUGAAAAUGUUUACAUUUUUUUAAUUGUUAGUGGCGGACUGGUGAGUAACACGUAAGCAACCUGCCUAUUAGAGGGGAAUAACAAUGAGAAAUCAUUGCUAAUACCGCAUAUGCCAUAAUUAUCACAUGAUAGUAGUGGGAAAGAAGUAAUUCGCUAAUAGAUGGGCUUGCGUCUGAUUAGUUAGUUGGUGGGGUAAUGGCCUACCAAGACUACGAUCAGUAGCCGGACUGAGAGGUUCAACGGCCACAUUGGGACUGAGAUACGGCCCAGACUCCUACGGGAGGCAGCAGUCGGGAAUUUUGCGCAAUGGAGGAAACUCUGACGCAGUGAUGCCGCGUAUAGGAAGAAGGUUUUUCCGGAUUGUAAACUAUUGUCUGCAGGGAAGAUACAAGACUGUACCUG